rnacentral:rRNA from 1 species
UACAGAGGUCUCAAGCGUUGUUCGGAAUAACUGGGCUUAAAGGGCGCGUAGGCGGGCCGCCAAGUCCGAGGUGAAAUCCUCCGGCUCAACCGGAGAACUGCCUCGGAUACUGGAGGCCUGGAGGGGGGUAGGGGCACGCGGAACUGUGGGUGGAGCGGUGAAAUGCGUUGAUAUCCACAGGAACUCCGGUGGCGAAGGCGAGGUGCUGGACCCCAUCUGACGCUGAGGCGCGAAAGCCAGGGGAGCGAACGGG